rnacentral:lncRNA from 1 species
CGGUGCAGGACAUGGACCCUGCUCCACCCUCGGCGUCGCCCACUUUGGUGGAGCCGAUAGCUGCACCAGGCAGACGGACCCCUCGAGCCGGGCCGGGGAACAGGAGGGCCCCUCGGGCUGGGCCGGGGGACAGGAGGGCCCCUCGGGCUGGGCCGGGGGGCAGGAGGGCCCCUCGGGCUGGGCCGGGGAGCAGGAGGGCCCCUCGGGCUGGGCCGGGGAGCAUGCGGGCCCCUCGGGCUGGGCCGGAAGGCAUGCGGGCCACUCGGGCUGGGCCGGAAGGCAUGCGGGCCACUCGGGCUGGGCCGGAAGGCAUGCGGGCCACUCGGGCUGGGCCGGAAGGCAUGCGGGCCACUCGGGCUGGGCCGGAAGGCAUGCGGGCCACUCGGGCUGGGCCGGAGGGCAGGAGGACCACUCGGGCUGGACCGGAGGGCAGGAGGACCACUCGGGCUGGACCGGAGGGCAGGAGGACCACUCGGGCUGA